rnacentral:rRNA from 1 species
GCGCAGCAGGCGCGAAAACUUCACAAUGUGCGAAAGCACGAUGAGGGAAUCCCAAGUGCUUGCACGUAAGUGUAAGCUGUUUCUCUGUCUAAAACGCAGAGAGAGUAAGGGCUGGGUAAGACGGGUGCCAGCCGCCGCGGUAAUACCUGCAGCUCGAGUGGUGACCGUUAUUAUUGGGCCUAAAACGUCCGUAGCCGGUUUAAUAAAUGCCUGGGUAAAUCGGACCGCUUAACGGUUCGAAUUCCGGGUAGACUGUUAAACUUGAGACCGGGAGAAGUUAGAGGUACUCCUGGGGUAGAGGUGAAAUUCUGUAAUCCUAGGGGGACCACCAGUGGCGAAGGCGUCUAACUAGAACGGGUCUGACGGUGAGGGACGAAGCCCUGGGGCGCAAACGGGAUUAGAUACCCCGGUA